rnacentral:lncRNA from 1 species
UUACUACUCCCUCUUUUUGUCACUAGUGAAAUGUAGAAGUGACAAUGAAUGCUAGUACACAAUAUCAUGAAGAAAUAAAAGUAACUAUUUCAUUUCAUAAAUUUGUUUUUACAGAUAUGCAUCAAUUAGAUGAAUAUUCUUUUUAUAAAACAAUGAUAAUGACAGUACACCAAGACACAUGAGUAAGAAAAUAAAAAUACAUAGAUAAGCAUCACAUCAACAGGCAUAGACUAAACCUAAUCUGCAUCUGAAGGUAAAUCUAUGGUAGCGGAUGUGCUGGCCCUAGAUGAAGAUGCCCCUCCUAUCCUGCUCCUAAUCGUACUAGAGGGAUGAAUAGCCUGAGUGGAGAAUCCUAUGUCAGACCUAGUAUAUGAUCUAAAUAAGGGUCUUGGGGUAGGCUGACCGGGGUGAGAGUGCUGGCUAAGUUGGAUGGGUUGGGUAGAGUGGCUAUGCUAGGAUGAGGGGCGAGAGGAUGAACUGCACCUAUAGCCACGAGCUGCUGCUACUACUGCUACUACCAUUGGUGCGAGCGUCUCCAAUUGCUCCACAAAAUGACCCAUGG